GUAAACUUUGUGUUUGUGUGGCAGGUUUCCAAACAUUGCAAACACCUGCUACAUGAACUCCUGCCUGCAGAGCCUCCUCAACACUGAGGAGUUCAUUAGAGACAUCAGCUGUCAGGAGAUUUUGUGGAGAGCAGUGCCAGAAGCUCGGCUCUUAAGAAGGCUCAUUGACAUCAGGGACUGUCAUAAUUCAAGAGAUUAUGGCCUUAAAAAACACCGCCUAAAAUCUUUUAAGAAGGCAUUCAGCGAACACGUUCCUGAAUACAAAGGCAGUGCACAGAAAGAUGCUCAUGAAUUCCUAACCUUGUUCCUCAAUGAGGUCAAAAGCCUUUCACCUCACCUGAAGAGGAAAGCAGCUCUCCUGGGCCGGGUUAUACCUGCCCAAUAGAAGAUCAUCAUGUUUUCAAAAUGGAAAACAUGAGGACAUGCAAGAGCUGCGGUCACCAAUCAUCACACCAAGAGGAAUUCACUAGCUUGUCUCUUGACCUGGUUCCAGAGGGGUCUGUUGAGGACAUGUUAGAGACAUACUUGAAGGAACAAAAAAUUGAAUUUCUCUGUUAUUGUGGAGGGACGACCUCGGAAGUGAAGCCGUCUUUUGAUACACUGCCAAGAGUUCUCAUCUUGCACCUGAAGAGGUUUGGCUUCACAAAACCAACAAGCUUCAGAAGGUGCAUGACCCCGUCUGGCUGCAGAGGGACUUGGUGGUGUCAUCCAAACAGGAUGAUGGCUGUUAUAGCCUUGUAAGCAUCAUUAGUCACUAUGGAGGCACAGAAUCAGGACACUACAUCUGUAAUUCCGUGCAUCCUGAGGCGAGUCCGCAGGCUACAUCAGAUCCUUGGCUCACCUAUGAUGAUGCACGGGUGCUCCACACAACUGGAUCUGCAGUUUUUGAGGAACAGCAGCACUCUGCCUACAUCCUGUUUUACAAGAGAAACGAUGUGGAAGCAAGUUACAGCCAUCAUCAUGCUGAGAAGGAACAACCGUCGUCUCAGACCGCAGGUAAGUAUUGCCCUUAGGAGGAAGGGUCCACCCAGAGAGCCUGGUUCCUCCCAAGAUUUCUUCCUCCAGGAGGGAGUUUUUUCUUGCCACCGUCGCCUACAUUCACUGGUCUCAUCAGCAGAGACAUUGUUAACCUUCUAAGACCUGGACUCUUUCAUGGCAUGCAUUUUUAAUUUCUCUGUGCCAUUUUGGGUUGAUUGGGACCUGAUGAAUGUAAAAACAAAGAAUUACCUGAUUUUUAUUUCGGUGAAAAAUGAGAUCCACAUAUGAGGACAUUUGUUUUACAUUUUGAUGGAACAGUGGCAGUAUGAUGUCCUCAUAAGUGGAUAUCAGCCCUUUGUAUAACAACAUUUUAUAUUUUGGUCUAGACAACCCAAAAUGUAAUGUCCACAUAUAUGGACUCCAGGUCCUAGGAGGUUAAAACAAAGUCUACUAGAGAUAGUCCUUUUCACGACCAGUGUUUGGCUUGCUCUCUGGGAACAACAAAAAAUUAAACAAAUAAAUUAAUAAUAAAAUAAAAUAAAGAAAUGAUUUAUUUAUUUAUUUUAUUUUAU